GUCUAUGCUGUACCACCCUGAAUGCACCCUAUCUCAUCUGCUCUCAGAAGCUAAGCGAGGUCGGGCCUGGUUAGUACUUGGAUGGGAGAAGUGCUAUGAAUAUAUAGUCGAUUGAGC
rnacentral:rRNA from 1 species